rnacentral:misc_RNA from 1 species
GAUGAAGAACGUAGCGAAAUGCGAUAAGUAAUGUGAAUUGCAGAAUUCAGUGAAUCAUCGAAUCUUUGAACGCACAUUGCGCCCAUUAGUAUUCUAGUGGGCAUGCCUGUUCGAGCGUCAUUAAGUCCACUUAAGCCCUGCUUAGUGUUGGGAGACUGCUCCAGCGGUGCUACCCUGUAGCUACCCUGCAGCUCCUCAAAGACAGCGGCGGAGUUGUGGUAUCCUCUGAGCUUAGUAACUUGUUCUAGCUUUCGAGUACACCACUUCCCCUGCCGUAAAACCCUUAAUUUUUAAUGGUUGACCUCGGAUCAGGUAGGCAUACCCGCUGAACUUAAGCAUAUCAAUAAGCGGAGGA